rnacentral:rRNA from 1 species
AUUGAACGCUGGCGGCGUGCCUAACACAUGCAAGUCGAGCGGUAACAGGUGUAGCAAUACAUGCUGACGAGCGGCGAACGGGUGAGUAAUGCUUCGGAAUCUACCCAAUGGUGGGGAAUAACCAGCCGAAAGGUUGGCUAAUACCGCAUACGUCCCACGGGAGAAAGCAGGGGAUCGCAAGACCUUGCGCCAAUGGAUGAGCCGAAGUCGGAUUAGCUAGUUGGAGGUAACGGCCUACCAAGGCGACGAUCCGUAGCUGGUCUGAGAGGACGACCAGCCACACUGGGACUGAGACACGGCCCAGACUCCUACGGGAGGCAGCAGUGGGGAAUAUUGGACAAUGGGGGAAACCCUGAUCCAGCGACGCCGCGUGUGUGAAGAAGGCCUGCGGGUUGUAAAGC